CUCUCGUUCUGUUUCUCUCUCUCUUCUUCCUCGGUUUCUUCUCUCCAGGAGGGGGGCAAUCCUUCGUCGGCGUCGUCUCAGGGGGAUGGCGUACCGGAGAAGGCACUCUGCGAAAUCGUCGUCGACGUUCGUGGAGGAUGCUCCUUCCUCCCCCUAUCACGACGACGGCUCGUCGCUCGCCGCCCGGGCGAUCAGGGCGUCGUCCCUGCAUCGCGACUCCUCGUUCUCUGCCGCCUACGGGGAGACCGUCAUCCCCUCCCCUCACCGGGAUUCGACCAACCAGGAGACGCCUCCUCUCUAUGAGCAGCAAGAACAGCAUCAGCAGCAGCAGGCAUCUACAACAUAUGAAUACACAUCAAUGAAAAAUUUAAAUGAUUCCAAGUCCGGUUUUUGGGGUGUUCUUGCUAGAAAAGCAAAAAACAUCUUUGAGGAAGAGGAUGGCACUCGGAAGGCUGAAAUGUUUGGUCGAGGUGGCCCUCAAAAAUUUGGUCGAGAUAGCCCACAGACCUCCGUUGCCUCUGCAGGUGUUCAGCACACAUAUCAAUCUACUGAGACUUCAAGGAGAACGGAGAACCCUGCCAUUCAAAAGGGCUUAGGUGCCAUUGCUUCCUCCCUCAAUUAUAUUGGUGGGAAAUUAGAAAAUGCCUUGGAGGAAGGCCUGACAAUCGUGGAAUCUAAAGCUGCUGAUAUUAUCUCAGACACACGCAAGCUUAAUAUCAGGAGAAAAGCAAGCACUUCUGGGACACCUGGUCAAACACAACAACCCAUUUAUCCAGAAGCAAAGAAUCUGCAUAUGCCUGCCAUUUACACUCCAUCUACACAGACAGACUAUGAAACUCAACUGAAGGCAUCUCGCGACGUUGCAAUGGCCAUGGCUGCAAAAGCCAAGCUAUUGCUUCGCGAGCUAAAAACUGUUAAAGCAGAUUUGGCAUUUGCAAAGCAGCGAUGUACCCAGCUAGAAGAGGAAAACCGGAUUUUGAGAGAGUCAAAUGAGAGGGGUGAUAGUCCAGAAGAUGAUGACCUGAUCCGACUUCAACUUGAGACACUGUUGGCUGAGAAGGCCAGGCUUGCCCAUGAAAAUUCUAUCUAUGCACGUGAGAAUCGUUUCCUGCGUGAGAUUGUAGAGUAUCAUCAACUGACGAUGCAGGACGUUGUCUACUUGGACGAAGGGAUUGAAGAGGUAAAAGAAGUUUAUCCAAUCACCAUCCCGUUUGAGACUCAACAUGCGCAAGUACCAUCUCCAACACUCCACAUGUCUCCUGCCCCGCCUGGUUCUGCUUCAAGCACUCCUCCAACCCCUUCAUUGCCUCCAGAAGCUUCAUCUUCCCCAGCUCCUGUUGCGUGACCAAAGCUUGUGCCAGAAAGCCAGUUUUUCAGGAAUCGCUACCCAGGUCGGGGCCCAGUGUGGCUGCAUCCUUAACUGUUCCUCAUCAUUUAUAAGUAAACAGAUGGAAUAAACAAAACUUUUUGCAGGUGUUCAAUCUCAUUUUUCGUAUGGGACAAUGACCCGAAAGAUGUCUCAGUUGUAAUCGAGCUCUGUCUACCCGAGUGCCAUGGUGAAAAUUCAAUCGUGAUGGGAAAUGCCAGAAGAACAGCAAGUGUUGCAUUCACGUCUUGCAGAGAACCUGAAAUCGGCCACUGGUCCUAACUGGUCAAGUGUGACGGAAAUGUCAGGACAGUACACAUUAACCACAAAUGGUUCACUGGGCGGAGCUGUAGGUGGGAGCCCUAUUUAGUCUGUUCCUGGCGUCCUGAGUUAUGAUGUAUUUUGUUCAGGUUGAGCCCAAACGAAAAUUUAUAUCCAGAUCCGAGGCCUGUCCAUCUCUAUGUUCCCGGGUGGGUCGAGUCCUGUCAGUUGUGUGGGAGUUAGAACCAAGUUCGGCUCAUUGGCCAAGGCGUUGUACUCGAAGACUCAAGUCCAAAGAUCAAGAGUUCAAUAUCAAAGCAAAAUGAGUUUUUCUCUUUAUUUUUCA